rnacentral:rRNA from 11 species
GAUAAUACCCAAAUAUCCAAAAAGCACCAGAUCUCAGCUGAUCUGGGAAGCUAAGCAGGGUUAGCCAUGGUUAGUACUUGGAUGGGAGACUGUCAAUAAAUAUCAGAUGCUCUGACUA